AUGGUUAAGGAGGUGUGGGAGAAACGGGUGGCCGGGCCUACCCCAAUACACAGAUGGAAUAACAAAAUGUGUGCAUUACGUAUAUUCCUUGGUGGUUGGGCAAGGCAUACGGUGGGUAUACUAAAAAAGGAGAAGCUUUGCCUUUCAUCUAUCAUUGAUGAAUUAGAAGCUUUGGCGGAGGUUAGACCUGUAUCUGAGCAUGAAGUCGAGAUGAAGAAUCAUUCGAAUGCACAUAUAGCUAACAUGCUGCGCGAAGAGGAACUAAAAUGGUACCAAAAUUCUAACUCUCAAUUUAUCCUGAAAGGUGAUUCGAAUACUAGAUAUUUCCAUGGAGUCACCAAUGGCAGACAUCGGAAGAAAAUUAUUCAUUCCGUACAACAGGAUGAAGGCACGAUUGAGGGGCAUGAGCAACUUAAAUCUUAUAUCACUAAUUAUUAUAAAAACAUGUUCGGACCCCCAGAGGAAGGAAACUUAUCGAUAGAUGGGUCCCGAACAGAUGACAUCCCCCAGGUCUCUGAUGAGGAAACAACCUUCUAA
rnacentral:rRNA from 1 species